rnacentral:rRNA from 1 species
CUACGGGGGGCUGCAGUGAGGAAUAUUGCACAAUGGGGGGAACCCUGAUGCAGCAACACCGCGUGGAGGAUGACGCAUUUCGGUGUGUAAACUCCUUUUAUAUGUCAAGAAAAUGACGGUAGCAUAUGAAUAAGCACCGGCUAACUCCGUGCCAGCAGCCGCGGUAAUACGGAGGGUGCAAGCGUUACUCGGAAUCACUGGGCGUAAAGGACGCGUAGGCGGGUUGGAAAGUCAGGUGUGAAAUCCUACAGCUUAACUGUAGAACUGCACUUGAAACUUCUAAUCUAGAGUAUGGGAGGGGGAGAUGGAAUUAGUGGUGUAGGGGUAAAAUCCGUAGAUAUCACUAGGAAUACCGAAAGCGAAGGCGAUCUCCUGGAACAUUACUGACGCUAAGGCGUGAAAGCGUGGGGAGCAAACAGGAUUAGAUACCCCGGUAGUC